UACGUAGGGUGCAGGCGUUUAAUCGGAAUUACUGGGCGUAAAGCGUGCGCAGGCGGUCUUUUAAGUCAGAUGUGAAAUCCCCGGGCUUAACCUGGGAACUGCGUUUGAAACUGAAAGGCUAGAGUGUGGCAGAGGGGGUGGAAUUCCACGUGUAGCAGUGAAAUGCGUAGAGAUGUGGAGGAACACCGAUGGCGAAGGCAGCCCCCUGGGCUAACACUGACGCUCAUGCACGAAAGCGUGGGGAGCAAACAGG
rnacentral:rRNA from 1 species